rnacentral:lncRNA from 1 species
GAAAGGGAGGGCGUGAAGAGGCACCCGGAAGGCAGGAGGAGAGGGCAGGAGGGAAACUGCACUCGCCUCCCUCCCGCUCCGUGGCCACAGGUCCCCGCAAGAAAGACCCCGUCCCACUCUCUGAGGUCUCCUCCCAGCUCCAGAAAAGGGGACAUUCCACCUAGUCUGCCCAACAAGUAGGUCUCAGCCACUGUGCCAGGAGCUCGGGACUCCCUCCCUCCAGAGGUUUCUGGAAUGCAUUCAGCAGGAAAAGCUAAAAGAACAGGACUCCAGGAGAUAAGCCAAGGCCAAGUCUAUCAGAGGGUGAGCCAGCAGCGGGAAGGGGACCAGCCCUUCCCCUAGCGUUUUUUCUGCCCGCUCCAGAAUCCGCUUUAGAAACUGUUAAAUGCAGAAAGUGGGGCCUCCACCACCCGCGAUGCUGCCCCAGGUCUAGCAGAAGACAGGUGUAAGGCCAGGCGGGUGCGGUGGCUCAUGCCUGUAAUCCUAAUGCUUUGGGAAGGCCGAGACGGGAGGAUAGCCUGAGGCCAGGAGUUGGAGACCAGCCUGGGCAACAUAGCAAGACCCCAUCUCUACAAAAAGUGAUAAUUUUUAAAAAAUGGGCUGGCUGGGCCCCUGGGCAUGGUGGCUCACGCCUAUAAUCCCAGCACUUUGGGAGACCGAGGAGGGCGGAUCACCUGAGGUCAGGAGUUCAAGACCAGCCUGGCCAAUAGGGCCAAACUCCAUUUCUACUAAACAUACAAAAAUUAGCCGGGUGUGAUGGUGCGCACCUGUAAUCACAGCUACUCGGGAGGCUGAGGCAGGAGAAUCACUUGAACCUGGCAG